rnacentral:rRNA from 1 species
UACGUAGGGUGCAAGCGUUGUCCGGAAUUAUUGGGCGUAAAGAGCUCGUAGGCGGUCUGUCGCGUCUGCUGUGAAAACUCAGGGCUUAACCCUGAGCUUGCAGUGGGUACGGGCAGACUAGAGUGCGGUAGGGGGAGACUGGAAUUCCUGGUGUAGCGGUGAAAUGCGCAGAUAUCAGGAGGAACACCGGUGGCGAAGGCGGGUCUCUGGGGCCGUAACUGACGCUGGAGGAGCGAAAAGCAGUGGGGAGCGAAACAGGGAUUAGAACUAC